rnacentral:rRNA from 1 species
ACGGAGAGUUUGAUUCUGGCUCAGAACGAACGCUGGCGGCGUGGAUAAGACAUGCAAGUCGGGCGGAGAUUCGUAAGUAGCAAUACUUGCGAAUCUCAGCGGCGAACGGGUGAGUAACACGUGGGUAAUCUACCCUGAAGACUGGGAUAACCCCGGGAAACUGGGGCUAAUACCGGAUGUGGUCAGGCGGUGGUAUCACUGCCUGAUUAAAGGCCGGGGACCUUGGAGACCCCAAGGCCUGGCGCUUCAGGAUGAGCCCGCGGCCUAUCAGCUAGUUGGUAGGGUAAUGGCCUACCAAGGCNANGACGGGUAGCUGGUCUGAGAGGACUGNNCAGCCACACUGGGACUGAGACACGGCCCAGACNCCUACGGGUGGCAGCAGUCGAGAAUCUUNGNCAAUGGGCGAAAGCCUGANCGAGCGACGCCGCGUGGGGGACGAAGGGCUUCGGCUUGUAAACCCCUGUCAUCCGUGAACAAGGCCCGGGGGAUGAAUAAUCCUUUGGGCUUGAUAGUAGCGGAAGAGGAAGGGGCGGGCUAACUCUGUGCCAGCAGCCGCGGUAAGACAGAGGCCCCGAGCGUUGUUCGGAUUUACUGGGCGUAAAGGGUGCGUAGGCGGUCGGGUAAGUCUAGCGUGAAAUCUCGGAGCUCAACUCCGAAAUUGCGCUAGAUACUGCUCGGCUAGGAGGGGUUGGAGGGGGGACUGGAACUCUCGGUGUAGCGGUGAAAUGCGUAGAUAUCGAGAGGAACGCCGGUGGCGAAGGCGAGUCCCUGGACAACCCCUGACGCUGAGGCACGAAAGCUGGGGGAGCAAACAGGAUUAGAUACCCUGGUAGUCCCAGCCGUAAACGGUGCACGCUUGCUGUGGGCGGAGUCGACCCCGUCCGUGGCGAAGCUAACGCGUUAAGCGUGCCGCCUGGGGAGUACGCUCGCAAGGGUGAAACUCAAAGAAAUUGACGGGGGCCUGCACAAGCGGUGGAGCAUGUGGCUUAAUUCGAUGCAACGCGAAGAACCUUACCUGGGCUUGACAUGCUGGUGGUACUCACCCCGAAAGGGGGAGGACCCCGCAAGGGGAGCCAGCACAGGUGCUGCAUGGCUGUCGUCAGCUCGUGUCGUGAGAUGUUGGGUUAAGUCCCGCAACGAGCGCAACCCCUGCGGCCUGUUGCCACUCCCGCGAGAGCGGGAAGCACUCUGGCCGGACUGCCCCGUACCAACGGGGAGGAAGGUGGGGACGACGUCAAGUCAGUAUGGCCCUUAUGCCCAGGGCUGCACACGUGCUACAAUGCCCGGUACAAUGGGCAGCAACCCCGUAAGGGGAAGCUAAUCCCCAAAAACCGGGCCCAGUUCAGAUUGUCGGCUGCAACUCGCCGGCAUGAAGCUGGAAUCGCUAGUAAUGGCGCAUCAGCUACGGCGCCGUGAAUACGUUCCCAGGCCUUGUACACACCGCCCGUCACGUCCCGAAAGCUGGUUGUACCCGAAGUCACUCUUCGGAGUGCCGAAGGUAUGACUGGUGAUUGGGACGAAGUCGUAACAAGGUAGCCGUACGGGAACGUGCGGCUGGAUCACCUCCUUUCUAAGGAGU